AGAAUCCUGAGGUGUACGUGAUACCUGUAAAAUUGAACCUGCUAUAAUUGACACGGGAGCUGGAAGUUUAGCCACGUAGUACGGGCCGCAAGCUAAUUCCGUCACGAAAGUGACGGCGGCGGAAGUACCAAAUGGUUAACAGGCGCCCACCUGGUUGAGUACCAGGUGUCAAUAUACAGGAAACGGCACCUUGGGAGUUAU
rnacentral:other from 1 species